GACGUAGGAUGCGAGCGUUGUUCGGAAUUAUUGGGCGUAAAGCGCGCGUAGGCGGCUACUUAAGUCGGAUGUGAAAGCCCUUGGCUCAACUGAGGAAGUGCACCCGAAACUGAGUGGCUAGAGUACGAAAGAGGGUCGCGGAAUUCCCGGUGUAGAGGUGAAAUUCGUAGAUAUCGGGAGGAACACCGGUGGCGAAGGCGGCGACCUGGGUCGAUACUGACGCUGAUGCGCGAAAGCGUGGGGAGCAAACAGG
rnacentral:rRNA from 1 species